GUUUGACCAUGUGACUAUGUACUGGCCAAUGGGACGAAAGGAAAACUUCAUGUGACAGCCCCAGCCUCUUCCCACGGCCAGCUCUGCCGUCUUCUUUUUUGUCUUCCUCCCCUUGAUGCCUCAAGCUCGGGGCUCUCCCCAUCGGAGGGCGGGUGUGGGCGGAAGGAGCCUGGGCCCCGAGAGCGGCCCGGACGGCUCAACCCCCACUGUGUCCUUGCGGGGAGAAUUAGGCGCACUGCCUUGCUUCUGUUUGCGUUAUUUGGAUUUUCGGUCACUCUCAGCGGGACGUAAUCUAAGGCGAUAAUAGAGGUGCUUCAACGAGAAGAGUGUGUGAGAGUUGCCUGUAGCUGACAGCAACAGCGCAUUUCCCUAGACCAGGCACUGGGCUUUAUCCACGAUCUCGUUCAAGCUUUGAGGUCGUUCUUGAAGGUUUUUUUCGGACUGCCAUCUUUCUCUCUCUCCCUCUACUGGAGCUGCAGCUCCAUCCCCGAGGCUUUGCUGAGAGCCCGAAAAUAGAAACCUGUUCUCAUUGGUCCAGGCCCCCCCCUCCAUCCUUUUGUGAUGCCGAUGAUUGAGCUCAGAAGCCACGAGGACCCUCAGAAGGACACCUGUUCUGGAAAGGGUGGCAGGUGAGGAGGAAUGGAAGUCAAAGAAGAGAGUCUGGGGAGAGAGAGCCUGGAGGGAGGAGAGGAGAGGAAGGGGCCAAGGAAGCAGGAUGCGUGGUGGGGAGGGCUGGACCCAUGGAUAGCCACUGCCCCUCCCUUCACUGGCCAGCACACAAGUUGGUGCCACGGCCUCUUCUUUAGCCACCACCUUCCCUUUGGCUCGCUCCCCAUGCUUUCCAGCGGCUAUUAUGACAUGUGGUGGUAUUUCUCUUGCUGAAAGCAGCUUCGAGAGAAA
rnacentral:lncRNA from 1 species